AAAGAGAAAGAGAAAGAGAAAGAGAAGAGAAAAAGUUGGAAAGAGAGAUGAAGACUUUUUCUCUUCUUGUUGUGUUACUUGUUUUGUU
rnacentral:ribozyme from 1 species